GUACUAAUUUGAUUAAGGAAAAAUCAUGUUCAUUCAUAAUUUUCAUUUUAAAAGUGUAUUGAUUCCUUCUGCAAAUCCAUACUGUCAUGCCUAUUACCCAAUAUCGUCAACGCGGAUAGUUCGUUAGUCGAAAAUACUGAAUAAUUAAACAAACCAAAUGGCAUCACUGGUGGUUCUUUUUUCCACUCCGCUAAACUGUCAUCUCAAACAAAAACAAAUGGAUCAUACAACUGCUAUGAAUACAUUCGACUCGUUUGCUUCCAUCAAUCGCAGUAACCUUCAACCCCUGUUGGCAAUGCCGGGGGACAGCAUCAACAGCAGCAGCAGCAGAAUUUGACCAUGGUAUGGUAUUGCGAAGAACUUUCCCCAUUAGAGGUUCCGUGCUUCGCGCACAUUCAAAAUCCUCUUCAGACACGAAAACUCAACGACAAGGAGGUAUUUAUCAACUUGCUCAGCUGAAUUACCACCCGGAGGAACCCGAAUGCACUGAUUCCGUUGUAUAGUAGAAUGAAAAUAGGCGAGGUAAGCGAACGUAAUCGCAUGAUAUUUUAAUAGUUCGCAUUUUUAUCCGGAUCAUACAACUGCUAUGAAUACAUCCGACUCAAUCAAUCGGCGAGUGAGAAAGAUGAUUUCCCUCAUCACCACAUUGCUUAUUUCCACUUCUGUCACGCCAGCCAACAGCAUCAGCUUUCCCGCAGCAGUAUCCUUUAAGUCCAGGGUGCUAUUCCGGGGAACAGCAUCAUCAGUAACAGCAGCAGGACCUGGCCAUCGAUAGUAUUUCGAGCAAUUUUCCCCAUCGGAGAUCCCGUGCUUCACGCACAUUGAAGAAACCUCCUCAGCCACAUAUGUGUGUCAAGGAGAAAAAGGAGCUGGAAUCGAAUCGUCAAUCCAG